GAAUUCACUGGAAAAGCAAUACAUACACAGACAAGGAAAUCUUCCAAAUUGGGUCCAUUCUGCCACUUUCAAAAACAAACAAAAAGGAUAUGACUAUCUUCCUCACCCUUCACAUACCCAUUUUUUUUUUUUUACCAUAAUUCCACAUACUCCCACAUGGGACCUUCACUAAAAAAUACAAGCAUCGAGAUCUCACUGGAAAACACCCAUCGUCACUCUCACACUCACCGCUGCACACACACAUUCACAUAGCAAUGUUUAUUCAUCCACCCACUAUGGAUUAGAGAGAAUCAAGAGAGGGAGAGCGAUUCUCAAGUCUUUCCGACGAUAUUCCCGCCGGAAUCAACAUCGGCUGUUCGAGUUAAACCGCCCCAUACCGAAAUCCCAACAUAUCUUACCAUUUUUUUUAUUUUUAGUGCUGGGUUGAAUCAAUUUUGCGACAGUUUCGGCACCGGUUUGGUUGUUCAGUUGCGAUUGUCUAUUUUUUUGGCUCAUCGGUCUUCGUACGGCUUCGGGAAUUGGUUUUCUGUUUGUCUCGAUUGGUUCAUCGUGGUCAGUUUUGGGUUUUAAUUUUGGUGAUACUGAGUUGGAGUUGGUUCGUUGAUUGAGGUUUUACUCGGGAUAUUCGAACGCGGUCUUCAUCUUUUCACUUAAUUAAUAUUUGAGUUUGAAAGAUAUGAAUUGAGGUCCAAUUCUAUCCCCUCUCUUUUAUUUCAUUGUUUACUAUGCUUGGUGUAUUGGAUUGAAUAUCGUGUGUUGGUUUGAUCCUCAUUGGUGAUGAACGCGAGUUUGUGUUGAUCCAUGGUUAGUUUUCUUGAUAAUGAUCUUAUGAUGAAAUGAUAUCUUGUUUGAGAAUUAAAAUUGAUUGUUUGCGGGAUGGGAAUUGAAAAAUUGAUAAAAAGGGUGAAUUUAGAUUUUCUUUUGGUUUAUUGUUGUCUCGUUUAAAUAAGCUUGAAUGUCGUUGGAACGCGAUAGAGUUAUGACAUAUUGAAAUGGGUAGGCAAACGUAGGUUGGGUAGGUCAAGUUUAGAAUUUACGAUUUUGUUGAAUGCUUGAAAUUUUGUUGAAUGGUUUGGUUUUCUCGCAUUGAAAAUUUGUAUUCAUUUCGCCGGGGAAUGCCUCGAGGUCUUUUGUACUUCUUUACCAGGGAAUGCCCCGACGUAUCAUGUACACAAAGGAGGUUCGUGAUGAAGGCUCGAGGCAUAGAGUAAGGCAUUGGAGCAUAGUUUAGGAUUAGUCUAGAAUAGGAUUUACAUUUUCGCAUUUUUUAUUUUUGGACUGUAUAAUUAGACUGAACAUUAUUAUUUUGUUUCUUUUUGGAUUGUUUUGUUUAACUGGUUGUUUUGAUGUGUUUUUGUGUGUAUUAUACACUCGUAAUAUCAAAUUAGCUGAUAUGCUCCACCAAGCAACCGUGGUCGAACCACGGGAUCGAGGGGUGCCUAACACCUUUCCCUCGGUCAACAGAAUUCCUUAGCCGGAAUCUCUGUUCCAAACCAAUUUUUAAAGAGUCAAAUAAUUUCAAAAAGGAUUUUUCAAAGGUGACUUGGCACACCGGAUUAUGUCAAGUGGCGACUCUGAGUUUAAAUGUAAAAGGUCUUUUUUGAAACAAUUUUCAUCCUUUUGUCACUUUAAUAAUAAAAAUCCUUUCGAACUUAAAAUCAAUUCUUUUCGAGUUAAAAAAGAGGUGUGACAGCUCUGGCGACUCUGCUGGGGAAGACAUUUCAGAAUUUGAGCUUAUUUUUUGAGUUGUAUCGGCUUAGUUUGAUAUUAUGGGUGUAUAGACAUUUGUGUUGUUUUGUGUUAUUUUUUUUUCAUUGUUGAGUGCCUACCUGCUCUUUGUUUACAGUUUUUAUCUUAUGUGUUACCGCUUUAUAUUUGGCAUCAUGUGCAUAACCCGAGUCAUUCUUUCUGCAACAAGUUCGUAGUACACGCUGUGUACAUGACCUAUAGUUGAGUCACCCUUAUUUUUAGGAGGGGGAGCCGUCGGCUGGUAUGGAGUAUUUGGAAAGCUAGCUCAGCCACUAUCGACCAUACGCUCCCCCGAACAGCCUUGUUAGUGAACCCUAGCGUAGGUCAGCCUUUAGGUCAUGCUUAUUUGCAUCAUAUUGAGAUCUAGCGAGACCCACAUGGCCCUUUGUAGAAGAGUCACCUCUAAAGCAUCCCUACGUGCUAAAUGUUCAUCUUUGUGGGUAACGAGGUCAUUUGACAGAUUGAUUUGGGCAAAAGCAUGAGUUAGAAGCAAAGUGUGUAGGCAAGAAAUUGUUGAAAAGUGUGUAGGCAAAAAAUUGUUGAAAAAAAAAAGAAAAAAAAAGUGGAAAAAAAAGAGAUUUGGUAGUUUUUAGGGUUCUUUAUGGCUUUUGUUUUUCACAAUUCAAUUUUUUUUUUACUUUUUACACUCAUUUCCCAAAAAAUCAAAAAUGUUAAAAAGAUUUUCCUUUUAUUUCUUUAGUAAAUAUUCGCAAUUAGAAAACUCCAAAAAUAUUUUUUCCUUUCAAUAGGAGCUUUGUACAUUUUUAUGUAACGAAAAUAUCAAAAAGAUUUUUUUUCUUUCAUAGUUGUUGGUGUUAGUUUCUAAUUAAAAACCCAAAAAAGAUUUUAUUUUCAUCGUCUGUCUUUAGUCGUGUCUCUUAAUUCAGGGUUUAGUUUGUUAUUUAAUCCUUAAUUGUCCAAUCUGGAUGAACUACGCACCCCUGAUUCUUCUCUCUCGGGGGUGAGAUAAGUAGGCAACCUUUUCGGGUUCGGGGAUCUUAUUUGAAAAUUCAAAAAAGAUUUUCUUCACUCUUCAUUUAGAGUAGGUGUUCCAUAUACAUCUUUAAAAGAAACUACAAAAAAGAUUUUCCUUUAAUAGUUUCAAGUUUCAUUUUCGUAUAAAUUUCAAAUCGAAAAUCCUAAAAGAUUUUUCUUCGGUAAUCAUAGGUUUCAUUUUGUAUAAGAAUUUGAAAAAUUCAAAAAGAUUUUCUUCACUCUUCAUUUAGAGUAGGUGUCAUAUACAUCUUAAAAGAAAAUCACAAAAAAGAAUUUUACUUUAAUAGGUUCGAGUUUCAUUUUUGCAUGAAAUUCAAAACUGAAAACCCCAAAAUGAUUUUCCUUGGUAAUAAUAGAUUUCACUUUGUAUAGGGGUGUUUAAACUUGAAAAAUAUAAAAUGAUUUUUGUCAAUUCUUCUGACAAAUUGUUAUGUUCUUUUUUUUUUAAAGUUUCAAGAAUAAAAAAGAGUUUAAUUGGCCAUUCUGGUAAGACUUUAUAAACUACGGACACCUGAUACUUCUCUCUCGGGAGUGAGAUAUGUAGGUGCCCCUCUUGGGUUCGGUGAUCUUGUGAAAAAAAAAGAAAAAAAAGAGGUUUUGAAAAAGUGUUGAACUCUAACACAUUUGUUAUCUCUUGUUCAGUUAGUUUAAGGUGGUUGGUUUGUGACAUCUUGGCUAGUCCUCCUUAUCACGCCAAAUCUAAGGAAGGGUUAAUUGUAUCCAACAAGGAUAAAAAGAGUGACCUUAUGGAUCAAACAAAAAUUAUAAAAUUGAGAGUUUAAGGGAAGAGAAUUUGAGAAUAAGACACCAAAUGAUGAAAAUGUAUCGAGUUUGGACCAGUGAGUUGCCUCCACCUUCGUUCUCCACUUUUGACCCUGCAAAUACCUUGUGUCUUUCACCAAAAUCGUAAAGUCAGUUUCCUACUAUUGUUGAUGCACCACAGCAUGCCUUAGAAUCCAUUCCACGUCAAAUGCACCUCAAUACUUUUACCACUCUUUAUUUAACUCGUCAGUAUAAACAUACCACAUUCAUAGCACCACAUACUGUCGGUGUUUUUAUUGCUCAAUCUUUUACUGAGGCUUCCACUUUGACUAUCAAUCCAACGAUUAUGCUUCCCCAGUUUAUUACUGAAUUCACGUUCAAUACUGUUGAUGAUCAUUGCUAAAAUAUUGAGCCGACAAUUAAGUUAAGUGGACCGCUAAAAUUUUUUACUAAGAAGCCAAGAAUGCUAGAGAAAAUAGUUGGGAAAGUGAAGAGUGUAGAAAAUGAUAUGAAAAGUUCCUCGAGGCUUGUGGGAUAUGAAUGUUUCAUAUAAAAAUUGGGGCAUGUCAUCAGGUGGUAACCUUCCUCCAAGCUUUGAGACUUCAAAAUUUGGGGAGCCUGAUGGACAAAAGGAUUUUGUGAAACAUUUGGGACGACAUUGCCAUCAAUCAAGGAAAACUAAAGGAAACAAAAAGGAAAAAUGCACAUAUUGUCAUGCUAGAGCCAAAGCAGAGUUUGAGAGGCCGAACCCACCAAUACCGUCAGCCUCAAUCCCGAGAUUACAAGUUAGAUCCACAUAACCACUUGCAACAAGGUUCCUUUCUCCAAAAUCUAAGAAAUCCCAUUCCACGUCCUCAAUAUCCUUUGAACAAUGCAAAGAUUAUGCUCAUCCGUUUUCUUAUCGAUAAUGUCAUUCACCUAUCCCUCAAAAUCAUCCUAAACCCUCACAAAUUUACCAAGGAACCUCUAAAUCAAAGUUUCAUUCAAGGCCAGAGUUUGCAAAGAGAAGGAAGGAAAAAGAUAAUUUCACUCUUAUUGGGGAAUUCUAUGUCAGUUUGUUCUAGAGCUUGAGACAGAGGGGCAUGAUCACUCCUCCCUUGGAUAUACUCUUGACCCGUAUUUAAGUAGUUUUGAUCCUAAUGUAUGAUGUGCAUAUCAUUCUAAUGCUCAGGGUCAUAGUAUUGAAGAUUGUUGAGAUUUGAAAAGAGAAAUUGGAAAGAUAAUUCAAGAUGGAGCAAUUAUGGAGCAAAACAUUAACAGUAAGGAAAGCUCUAGUCAUGAUUAUAUGCAAAUCAAUGGCUAAGAUGUCAGGCUGAGCAAUGGAAAAGUCACCCCUCUCCCUACUAGGAAGAGGUCUGGUAGUUUGUUUUCUUUUCUUUUCUAUUUUCUAAAUUAUUUUAGGGUUGUAGUUUAGGAUCUAUCUUGUUUUGGUUCUCUGUCGUCUUUGUUUAAACCCUUCAGUCUUUUCUUUUAAUGAAAUGUGGUGUCCCUUGUUUGUUUUGUUUUAUUUUAAGUUAUUUAUUUUUUUCUUUGCACAAUGCAUCUUAUGUUGAUUCUAGUUCUAUGACAUGCCUGCGGAAUUUUCAGUCAGAUCUUGAAAUCCAACUUAAUCAUGAAGCAUUGAUUUAGAGAGUUAAAAUUAGGAAAAGAGAGUAUCUGAGAAAAUAGGUAGAGUGCUGAGACAUUUGGUGACAAGUUGAAGUCUUUUUUGAAAAUUAAGGCAAUUAUUUUAAGAAUCACAAGAAUAACUUGCUCAUAAAUUGAAAAACAUGUCUCAAUUAGGUCAAAUAGUGGAUGUGUGGUCCUACAAUAAAUGGAAUAGAAAAUAAGCUCCACGAAAGCAUGAGUCAUUCGAUAUGAGGGAUGUGCAACAAAGGUGGAGUUGUAUGUUGGACAAGUGCUGAAGAAGAAGUGGCACACAUGCUAAGUUAAAGUUAGUGAUGUAAAAUAAUGUCACAAAUGAUCAUCAUCUAUCACUUUCAUAUUGUAUGAUAUGUACUUGCAUUUUCAAGGGUUGAUAUGACGAAGGCAUUUCAUUCUGCUAUCCAAACAUUGUGUCAUCUUUGUUUACCCCAUUUGGGUCGUAGUUUUAUUUUUCUUUCAUACACCUCUUUUGGAAUCAAGAUAGAGUCAGCAAAGCUCAAAAGAAAAUUGUCGAGCAAAAAGAAUAGAGUCAGAAAAGUUUCAAAAAAAAAAAAAGAAAGAGAAAAUUAUGUAAAAAAAAAGGAGAGUAUCAAGAAAAAUAAAGUCAGAAAAGUCCUGAAGAGAAAAAGAGUCAACAAAAGAAAAAAAAGAGAAGAGAAGAAGUCAGAAUCAAGCAAAACAAGCUGCCACAACUACACGUGACCUGAUUCUCCUCUUUCAGGGGUGAGAUACGUAGGCUGCCCUACUCCGGGCUCGGUCCAACCAAAUAAACAAUUUAGAAUUGCCCAGUCAAAAGAAACUGGGGCAUGAGUUAAUCCUCAUUCUUUGAGUCUAUUCCUAAAGUUGUAAGUCCUAACCUAAUUCAAGUGUCGUUUAGGCCUCAUGUCGUCCUUUCUUUCUAACCUUAUCCAAAAGCCAAGUUACAACCAAAGAAAGACCUUCAGAUCAAUCUUUGAGGAUGUUAAGGCUAAGCAUGCAAGGGAUAUGAUGAUACAUUUGGGAACUACUUGUUUUCCUCAGCAUAAGAAAUCAGGAGAGAAAUAAAAAUGAGAGUCUUAUUGGUGAAAACCCUCACGGGCACUGUAAGACGAUGGUAAGUUGAGAGAGAUAAAAAUAAGAGAGUCUUAUCGGUGAAAACUCUCACGGGCACCGUAAGACGACUGUGAGAUAAGGGAAACGAAGAUAAGAGAGUCUCAUUAAUGGAAAACCCUUACAGACACCAUAAGGCAAUGGUGAGCUGGGGAAAAGAAAAUGAGAGAAGCGUGUUGGCAAAAACCCUUCAAGGCGCCACUAGCCAAAUGGGGUCUUAAAUGCAAUUGAAGCAACUCAGUUCCAAGGCCAUUAACUCAACAAUAAUGGGUAAAAAGUUUGGAUGAAAAGAUCAAGCUUCUUAAUCCAAAAUGCAUGGUAUAAUCAUUAGUGUAGACUGUCAUUUUUAGAUGAAUUUUUCGUUUCUUUAUUUCAAAUGGGGACAUUCAUUGUCUUUUCUUUCUUUUUUUUUUAAUUUUUAUUUUAUCUUUCUUGAGUCAGUUAUCCAGAAAAAAAUUAUCAUUCUUUUUUCGUUUCUUGUUUUUGAGUCAAGUCCAUGUCAAAACAAGUGAGAAAAGAUUUCAAAACUGGCUACUAGCUUCUUUAAUUGCACAAAGCAAGAUAAAAUCUAGCACAUGAAAGAGACAUGAUUGUGGGCCAAAAAAGGGCAUGCAGAAAGUUUUGUCAACAGAUAAGUCUGGGAACCCACAGAAAUACCAUAGUUCAAAGGGUUUAACUGAGAAACAUGGCAAAGCAGAGAUACUGUAUUUAUGGUAGAGUCACUCUUCCUAAUAUGAGUUUGGAUCACUGAUGCAACAAGUCAAUGACAUAUGUUAGUGGUUGGAAGCAAGGUUAAAUGUGACUAGGGCAAGAGCGAUUUUCGCGAAAUUUAAAGACGCUAGCCCGCCACCAUGUUUUUUUUAACUCACAAGUUUUCUUUUAUGAAACAUGAAACAUAUUACCUUCAAAUCAAGGACUUCAGAACAUAAAUAUUAAGGGCUGCAAUGCCUCACCCCUACAAAUGCAGGAAAUAAUGUUGUUUCACAGGUUUAAUAAUUAAGUCAUGGUAAAAAAUCAUCAUCCUAUAUCCCUUGGAGACACACUUUCUUGUCCAGGCAUUUCAGUUUUCAUUGGCUAGGUGAUACACUUCUUAAAUUGAACCUUCACUCCUAGAAGAUGUACCUUUUAGUUGAGUCAGUCCCCUUGACCCCUAGAAGACGUACCUUUUAGUCGAGUCAUUUUCUUUGAUUCCUAUAAGACGUACCUUUUAGUCGAGUCAUUCCCUUUGGUUCCCAUAAGAUGUACCUUUUAGUCGAGUCAUCCCCUUUGAUUCCUAUAAGACGUACCUUUUAGUCGAGUUAUUCCCUUUGAUUCCUAUAAGACAUACCUUUAGUCGAGUUAUUCCCCUUGACCCCUAGAAGCCGUACCUUUUAGUCAAGUCAUUUCCUUUGAUUCCUAUACGACGUACCUUUUAGUCGACUCAUCCCCUUUGAUUCCUGUAAGACGUACCUUUUAGUCGAGUCAAUCCCCUUGACCCCUAGAAGAUGUACCUUUUAGUCGAGUCAUUCCCUUUGAUUCCUAUAAUUCAUACCUUUUAGUCGAGUCAUUCCCUUUGAUUCCUAUAAGACGUACCUUUUAGUCGAGCCAUCCCUUUUGAUUCCUAUAAGAUGUAUCGUUUAGUCGAUUCAUUCCCUUUGAUUCCUCUAAGGCAUACCUUUUAGUCGAGUUAUUCCCCUUGACCCCUAGAAGCCAUACCUUUUAGUCGAGUCAUUCCCUUUGAUUCCUAGAAGUCGUACCUUUUAAUCGAGUCAUUCCCUUUAAUUCAUAUAAUGAUGUGACUUUCCUAAAAGUCCUUUGAUGAGAAACUGGGGCAAAUUUAAAUCUUAUGUUUGGAACUUCUCUUUCCUGGCAAAUGAAAUCUCUUUAUGAUAAUCUUUGUUUGGGAUAAUUUUCUUUUUAGUUUUGAUGUGAUUUCAGGAGCCCGCCUGAAGAACAGGGCGAAUAAAUGAAAAGUCAAGCAAUAUGGUGAAAAAGUUGAAAGUCAAGCCACAAGGUGAAAAAGUUGAGAGUCAAGCAACAAGGUGAAGGAAUUAAAAGUCAACAAAUAAAAAAAUAGCAAGUCAGGAACCCGCCGGAAAAAUAGGGUGAACAAAUUGUAAACCAAGCAACAAGUGAUGAAAUUUCAAGUCGGGAGUUCGGCCGAAAAAUAGAGUGAUGAAAUUACAAGUCAGAAGUCUGCCUGAAAAAAAGGAUGAAGAAAUUGCAAGUCAUGAGUUCGCCUGAAGAAUAGGGUGAUAAAGUAGCAAGUCAACAAUCAAGGAAAUACGCAUAGAUAGAGUUUUUGUAAUUUCAUUGAUGUUUUUAACUUGUAAUUUUCAUUUUUGAUGUAAUGACAGAGCUGCGGACCGGAACCUCGAUGGAACCUUACUCGACUCUCCAACUCGGUAUUGUCCUUCUCUUUGAAAUCCUUUGAAAUACACAUGACUUGAUUCCCUCGUAACUUGGGUAGGUAGGAUGUCCUAAGUCAAGACCCGAUUGCUUUUUUUCCUUUUGUUUCUCUGAAUAAUGGUCGGGAUAAAAUUGUCUCGUUGUCUACUUCUUUUUCUGAAAACACUUCGUGUUUAUAGUCAAAGGGGGCAUGAUGUAGACACCUAAUUUUGUCCCUCUCCGAUAUCACUUUUAUUCAUUUUUACCUUAUCCUAUCGUGUACCCUUAACCAUGUAAUUAUCCCUUCAUAAAAUGACAAAAAAUAACAAACUCAUAACAAAUUUUAUCUUGUUUUAAUUCUAUCCUAACAAACUUUAUUCUAACAACCUAGCCGUACCCCACAUCCCAUACCCCCUCACCCCUACACCCUACGUCACCACCCCUCACAUUCCUUUUGAUUUUCUUUGAACCAAAUCACAAAAGAAAAAGAGGCAAAAUAGGGGGCCCUCACGGGAAUUCACUGGAAAAUCAAUACAUACAUACACAAGGAAAUCUUCCAAAUUGGGUCCAUUCUGCCACUUUAAAAAACAAACAAAAAGGAGAUGACCAUCUUCCUCACCCUUCACAUACCCAUUUUUUUUACCAUAAUUCCACGUACUCCCACACGGGACCUUCACUAAAAAAUACAAGCAUCGAGAUCUCAUCGGAAAACACCCAUCAUCACUCUCACACUCACCGCUGCACACACACAUUCACAUAGCAAUGUUUAUUCAUCCACCCACCAUGGAUUAGAGAGAAUCAAGAGAGGGAGAGCGAUUCUCAAGUCUUUCCAGCGAUAUUCUCGCCGAAAUCAGCGUCGGCUGUUCGAGUUAAACCGCCCCAUACCGAAAUCCCAACAUAUCUCGCUGUUUCUUUUUUAUUUUCAGUGCUGGGUUGAAUCAAUUUUGCGACAGUUUCAGCACCGGUUUGGUUGUUCAGUUGUGAUUGUCUAUUUUUUUGGCUCAUCGGUCUUCGUACGACUUCGGGGAUUGGUUUUCUAUUUAUCUCGAUUGGUUCAUUGUGGUCAGUUUUGGGUUUCAAUUUUGGUGAUACUGAGUUGGAGUUGGUUUGUUGAUUGAUGUUCUACUCGGAAUAUUCGAACGCGGUCUUUGUCUUUUCACUCUAUUAAUAUUUGAGUUUGAAAGCUACGAAUCGAGUUCCAAUUCUAUCCCCUCUCUUUUUAUUUCAUUGUUUACUAUGCUUGGUGUGUUGGAUUGAAUAUCGUGUGUUGGUUUGAUCUUCAUUGGUGAUGAACGCGAGUUUGUAUUGAUCCGUGGUUGGUUUUUUUGAUCAUGAUCUUAUGAUGAAAUGAUAUCUUGUUUGAGAAUUAAAAUUGAUUGUUUGCGGGAUGGGAAUUGAAAAAUUGAUAAAAAGGGUGAAUUUAAAUUUUCUUUUGGUUUAUUGUUGUCUCGUUUAAAUAAGCUUGAAUGUCAUUGGAACGUGAUAGAGUUAUGACAUAUUAAAAUGGGUAGGCAAACGUAGGUUGGGUAGGCCAAGUUUAGAAUUUGCGGUUUUGUUGAAUGCUUGAAAUUUUGUUGAAUGGUUUGGUUUUCUUGCAUUGAAAAUUUGUAUUCAUUUCGCCGGGGAAUGCCUUGAGGUCUUUUGUACUUCUUUACCGGGGAAUGCCCUGACGUAUCAUGUACACAAAGGAGGUUCGUGAUGAAGGCCCGAG
rnacentral:lncRNA from 1 species